rnacentral:rRNA from 1 species
AUUGAACGCUGGCGGCAGGCCUAACACAUGCAAGUCGAGCGGGGUUUUCGGACCUAGCGGCGGACGGGUGAGUAAUGCGUAGGAAGCUACCCAAUAGAGGGGGAUACCAGUUGGAAACGACUGUUAAUACCGCAUAAUGUCUACGGACCAAAGUGUGGGACCUUCGGGCCACAUGCUAUCGGAUGUGCCUACGUGGGAUUAGCUAGUUGGUGAGGUAAAGGCUCACCAAGGCGACGAUUCCUAUCUGGUUUGAGAGGAUGAGCAGCCACACUGGAACUGAGACAAGGUCCAGACUCCUACGGGAGGCAGCAGUGGGGAAUAUUGGCCAAUGGGCGCAAGCCUGAUCCACCCAUGCCGCGUGUGUGAAGAAGGCCUUCGGGUUGUAAAGCACUUUCAGUAAGGAGGAAGCGUUGAGUGUUAAUAGUACUCAGCGUUGACGUUACUUACAGAAGAAGCACCGGCUAACUCUGUGCCAGCCGCCGCCGUAAAAC